UACGUAGGGUGCAAGCGUUAAUCGGAAUUACUGGGCGUAAAGCGUGCGCAGGCGGCUUUGCAAGACAGAUGUGAAAUCCCCGGGCUCAACCUGGGAACUGCAUUUGUGACUGCAUGGCUGGAGUGCGGCAGAGGGGGAUGGAAUUCCGCGUGUAGCAGUGAAAUGCGUAGAUAUGCGGAGGAACACCGAUGGCGAAGGCAAUCCCCUGGGCCUGCACUGACGCUCAUGCACGAAAGCUAGGGGAGCAAACAGG
rnacentral:rRNA from 1 species